AUACCGAACCUCCUGGGCAUCUCUCUUUCGUCGUCGGUGUCCUCCGGCUCCGGCGGUUCAAAUAUAUCCAGGGCCUCCUCCGCGUCCCGGUGCUGCCGACCACGACGCCUGAGGUAAAGAGGUAUUCCUCGAGGGUCCUGCCCGGUGAAGACAGAUGUGGGCUUGUUUUCCAGCUGGGAGAUCUGUUGCUUCUCCACAAGAAGCCAGUCUUCCCUUAGCGACACAGCACUGUUGGAUGGUGCGUUCACCAACAGACUCGACGGCUUAACCCUUUGGUUGCUGGCGGAAGUUGGCGCAAUAUUGAACCACUCCCUCUAAUCCCACAGAGCGAUGGGUUGAUGAAGUGUGUGUUUGUGUGGGGAAAGGGAGAUAAAAAAAA